rnacentral:lncRNA from 1 species
AUCAGUUUUGAGCAUGUUCAUGCAUCACAAAUGCCAUGAGAUAUAUUAGGUUGUUUGCAUUAGAAUUCACGAAUAUGUUGCAUUGCAUAAUAUGAUGUUGAUGCGGAUGAACAUUGAAUGAUCCAUUAGCCCUCGUAUGUUAUGAUAUGACAUGAUGAUGAUAUGGUAUGGAAGUCCAGGUGUGGCCUGCACUACGCCCCUGGCACAAUGUAAGAGAAAGUCCGGGUGUGGCCUGCACUACGCCCCC